UACGUAGGUGGCAAGCGUUGUCCGGAAUUAUUGGGCGUAAAGCGCGCGCAGGCGGUCCUUUAAGUCUGAUGUGAAAGCCCACGGCUCAACCGUGGAGGGUCAUUGGAAACUGGGGGACUUGAGUACAGAAGAGAAGAGUGGAAUUCCACGUGUAGCGGUGAAAUGCGUAGGAGAUGUGGAGGAACACCAGUGGCGAAGGCGACUCUUGGUCUGUAACUGACGCUGGAGGCGCGAAAGCGUGGGGAGCAAACAGG
rnacentral:rRNA from 1 species